AUUUUUGUUUUAUUAUAAGUUAAUAUAGAUUAUAUUUGUAAAUCAUGAUGCUGUUAACUUCAGGAA
rnacentral:tRNA from 1 species